rnacentral:rRNA from 1 species
GACGAACGCUGGCGGCGUGCUUAACACAUGCAAGUCGAACGGUGAAGGGACUGGUUUUGCUGGUCCUGGAUGAGUGGCGAACGGGUGAGUAACACGUGAGUAACCUGCCCCCUUCUUCUGGAUAACCGCAUGAAAGUGUGGCUAAUACGGGAUAUUCUGGGUCUGUCGCAUGGUGGGCCUGGGAAAGAUUGCGCCUUUUUUGGGGUUUUUGGUGGGGGAUGGGCUCGCGGCCUAUCAGCUUGUUGGUGGGGUGAUGGCGUACCAAGGCGGUGACGGGUAGCCCGCCUGAGAGGGUGGACGGUCACACUGGGACUGAGACACGGCCCAGACUCCUACGGGAGGCAGCAGUGGGGAAUAUUGCACAAUGGGCGCAAGCCUGAUGCAGCGACGCCGCGUGAGGGAUGGAGGCCGUCGGGUUGUGAACCUCUUUCGCCAGUGAAGCAGGCCUGCCUCUUUUUGUGGGUGGGUUGACGGUAGCUGGAUAAGAAGCGCCGGCUAACUACGUG